GGUCAAGGCAGGGUCUGAGCCUGGAGCACAGCGGCUCUUCAGAACAGCUCUGUGCAGCCCUGCUCUGCUAGGCAGUGUGCGAAACGCAGGUAGCUGACAAUGCCUGUCCUACCUCCAGAGAAAAGCUACAUUUAAAAGAAAGAAGAAAACACUUUCCUCUUGAUCAGAAACAAAAACCAAACACCAACCUCGCAAGCUGCUGUCUAUGGAUGCCACAGACUUCUUGGAAGAGGUGGGUGCUGUCCAGGACAGCUUUUGGAAGGUCUGUGUGAUCCAAGAGAAUGUCAUGACAACAACACUAAACAAAGGAGUGCUGUCAUUGUUGUCCUGACCAGAUGAUGAACCAGGGACAUCUCCAGAAAAUCACAGUGGUGAAAAGGAAAUGUUCUGAGGAUACAAUCACCCCUUAGAUCUCUUUAAGUACUGCACUCCCUCCAUAGCUACCUGCUGGAACCAAGCUCGGCUAUUAUGAUCUACAGCAAUGCUGUUGAGAAAGUUUCCCCCAUGUACAGGGUUGAGACCUCCUGCUCUGCAAAUACUGUAGUUAGCAAGCAGUUAGGCAGUCAGAAGUGGGACAUCCCCAAGGCAUGCUGUCCCCAUCUAAUCUCUUCCCGCAGACAUUGCUUCUUAAUCGUCUUCCAUGAAUUGGGUGAUGGGAGCUCCUCUGGGAUGCUGUCAUGCAGAUUUGCAGAUUAAUACUUAUUUUGCUUAAUUUCAUUUACACUGAUAUCAUUUACACUCCCUCAGACAACCCUAAGCAGUCUUUCUCGCUCCCUGGUGCUUCUGCACCCCUGAAGUUCUCAUACGCAAUUCCCAUGAUGCUCUUCACAGUUGUUAUUUGGCCAACCUACACACACUGUAAUCCCUUCCAGCUUUUUUAUCAUUUUAUGUUCUUUUUUUUUUUAUUUCCCUCCAAGUCGUUGACAUCUAGCUUGUACUGAGCUGUCCAGAUCUAAACAUGUCUUCAAACCGUGGUCUCACCGCUAUAUUAAAAAAUGGGACUAUUGC
rnacentral:lncRNA from 7 species